AUGAACGCUGGCGGCGUGCCUAAUACAUGCAAGUCGAGCGAACAGACGAGGAGCUUGCUCCUCUGACGUUAGCGGCGGACGGGUGAGUAACACGUGGAUAACCUACCUAUAAGACUGGGAUAACUUCGGGAAACCGGAGCUAAUACCGGAUAAUAUAUUGAACCGCAUGGUUCAAUAGUGAAAGACGGUUUUGCUGUCACUUAUAGAUGGAUCCGCGCCGCAUUAGCUAGUUGGUAAGGUAACGGCUUACCAAGGCAACGAUGCGUAGCCGACCUGAGAGGGUGAUCGGCCACCCUGGACCUGAGACACGGUCCAGACUCCUACGGGAGGCAGCAGUAGGGAAUCUUCCGCAAUGGGCGAAAGCUUGACGGAGCAACGCCGCGUGAGUGAUGAAGGUCUUCGGAUCGUAAAACUCUGUUAUUAGGGAAGAACAAAUGUGUAAGUAACUAUGCACGUCUUGACGGUACCUAAUCAGAAAGCCACGGCUAACUACGUG
rnacentral:rRNA from 1 species